rnacentral:rRNA from 1 species
UGAGCUACAAGCCCCUAACACGAGAGACAUGCCGGCGCGCAUCCGACGUGAAGUCGAUGCAUCGCACAGCGCUCAGCCCCUGGCGCGUGUUCGUCCGCGAAGAAAGAGAAACGAAGACGGCGAAAUCCCGCCGAUGGAGCUCAACAAUCCUGAAAUUGUUGGCCCCUGAAUGUUUCUAAAACGAUCCGAUAGUGAGCGUGAGCUCGCUGAAGGAUCAUCCUUAGAAAGGAGGUGAUCCAGCCGCGAGGAAGGUGGGGAUGACGUCAAGUCCUCAUGGCCCUUACGGGCUGGGCUACACACGUGCUACAAUGGCGGUGACAAUGGGAUGCUAAGGGGCGACCCUUCGCAAAUCUCAAAAAGCCGUCUCAGUUCGGAUUGGGCUCUGCAACUCGAGCCCAUGAAGUUGGAAUCGCUAGUAAUCGUGGAUCAGCACGCCACGGUGAAUACGUUCCCGGGCCUUGUACACACCGCCCGUCACACCAUGGGAGUUGGUUUUACCUGAAGAC